rnacentral:rRNA from 1 species
UACGGAGGGGGCUAGCGUUGUUCGGAAUUACUGGGCGUAAAGCGCACGUAGGCGGCUUUGCAAGUUAGAGGUGAAAGCCCGGGGCUCAACUCCGGAAUUGCCUUUAAAACUGCAUCGCUAGAAUUGUGGAGAGGUAAGUGGAAUUCCGAGUGUAGAGGUGAAAUUCGUAGAUAUUCGGAAGAACACCAGUGGCGAAGGCGACUCACUGGACACGUAUUGACGCUGAGGCGCGAAAGCGUGGGGAGCAAACAGG